rnacentral:rRNA from 1 species
AUACGGAGGGUGCAAGCGUUACUCGGAAUCACUGGGCGUAAAGCGCGCGCAGGCGGCUUGAUAAGUUGGAUGUGAAAGCCUACGGCUCAACCGUAGAACUGCAUCCAAAACUGUCAGGCUAGAGUGUGGGAGAGGAAGAUGGAAUUAGUUGUGUAGGGGUAAAAUCCGUAGAGAUAACUAGGAAUACCAAAAGCGAAGGCAAUCUUCUGGAACACUACUGACGCUGAGGCGCGAAGGCGUGGGGAGCAAACAGGAUUAGAAACCCGGGUAGUCC